rnacentral:piRNA from 1 species
UAACACCAAGUGAAACGGUGGCCUC